rnacentral:rRNA from 1 species
UUAAGCCCCAGUAAACGGCGGUGGUAACUAUAACCAUCCUAAGGUAGCGAAAUUCCUUGUCGGGUAAGUUCCGACCUGCACGAAUGGCGUAACGACUUCCCAGCUGUCUCAACCACGAACUCGGCGAAAUUGCACUACGAGUAAAGAUGCUCGUUACGCGCAGCAGGACGGAAAGACCCCGUGACCUUUACUACAGCUUGGUAUUGGUGUUCGGUGUGGCUUGUGUAGGAUAGGUGGGAGACUUUGAAGCGGACACGCCAGUGUUUGUGGAGUCAUUGUUGAAAUACCACUCUGGUCACUCUGGAUAUCUAACUUCGAACCGUAAUCCGGUUCAGGGACAGUGCCUGGUGGGUAGUUUAACUGGGGCGGUUGCCUCCCAAAAAGUAACGGAGGCGCCCAAAGGUUCCCUCAGCCUGGUUGGCAAUCAGGUGGCGAGUGUAAGUGCACAAGGGAGCUUGACUGUGAGACUGACAGGUCGAGCAGGGACGAAAGUCGGGACUAGUGAUCCGGCAGUGGCUUGUGGAAGCGCUGUCGCUCAACGGAUAAAAGGUACCUCGGGGAUAACAGGCUGAUCUUGCCCAAGAGUCCAUAUCGACGGCAUGGUUUGGCACCUCGAUGUCGGCUCGUCGCAUCCUGGGGCUGGAGUAGGUCCCAAGGGUUGGGCUGUUCGCCCAUUAAAGCGGUACGCGAGCUGGGUUUAGAACGUCGUGAGACAGUUCGGUCCCUAUCCGCUGCGCGCGUUGGAAAUUUGAGAGGAUCUGACCCUAGUACGAGAGGACCGGGUUGGACGAACCUCUGGUGUGUCAGUUGUCCUGCCAAGGGCACCGCUGAUUAGCUACGUUCGGGAUGGAUAACCGCUGAAAGCAUCUAAGCGGGAAGCCGGCCUCAAGAUGAGAUUUCCAUGCCCUUCGGGGCGAGAGGCUCCCAGUAGACGACUGGGUUGAUAGGCCGGAUGUGGAAGUGGGGACUAAAGACCCAUGCAGCUGACCGGUACUAAUAAGCCGAUAACUUGACACC